UACAGAGGUCCCAAGCGUUGUUCGGAUUCACUGGGCGUAAAGGGUGCGUAGGCGGUCGGGUAAGUCUGAUGUGAAAUCUCCAAGCUUAACUUGGAAAUGGCAUCGGAUACUAUUCGGCUCGAGGAAUGGAGGGGAGACUGGAAUACUUGGUGUAGCAGUGAAAUGCGUAGAUAUCAAGUGGAACACCAGAGGCGAAGGCGAGUCUCUGGACAUUUCCUGACGCUGAGGCACGAAAGCCAGGGGAGCAAACGGG
rnacentral:rRNA from 1 species